CUUCUUUCACGGCAGCCAAGUUUAUCGUAGCCCUUUCUGGCAGUUGUUUGUUCUUUGUUUCUUUGAACAAGACGUGGGGCUGCAAUGAUGAAUCACACCACCUGGGAAUUUUGGCACCUACAUGUUAGAAAGAGAACAUACACAUGAUAUGAGACAGUUCAUGCUUGGUCUCUUCAGGUGCUCAUGCUCCCUGAAUCCAGAAAUCAACAACCUGGCACCUUUGUAUUCUUCAAAACUCAUCUCGGUAAUUCUCCUGCUGUUCCCUCCCGAAACUUGCCACCUUCACUCAUCUUACUGUUCAUCUCCUAGCAAGUGAUGAUCAAAGAUUUUUCUUCUUUUUUGCUUUGAAAAAGACACCAGCACUGUAAGAAGUUUAUUCGUACAAAUCACAAG
rnacentral:lncRNA from 1 species